UACGGGGGGAGCAAGCGUUGUUCGGAUUUACUGGGCGUAAAGGGCGCGUAGGCGGCCUGUGCAAGUCAGUUGUGAAAUCUCCGAGCUUAACUCGGAACGGUCAACUGAUACUGCUCGGCUAGAGUGCGGAAGGGGCAACUGGAAUUCUUGGUGUAGCGGCGAAAUGCGUAGAUAUCAAGAGGAACACCUGCGGCGAAGGCGGGUUGCUGGGCCGACACUGACGCUGAGGCGCGAAAGCUAGGGGAGCGAACGGG
rnacentral:rRNA from 1 species